GAUGAACGCUGGCGGCGUGCCUAAUACAUGCAAGUCGAGCGAACGGACGAGAAGCUUGCUUUUCUGAUGUUAGCGGCGGACGGGUGAGUAACACGUGGAUAACCUACCUAUAAGACUGGGAUAACUUCGGGAAACCGGAGCUAAUACCGGAUAAUAUUUUGAACCGCAUGGUUCAAAAGUGAAAGACGGUCUUGCUGUCACUUAUAGAUGGAUCCGCGCUGCAUUAGCUAGUUGGUAAGGUAACGGCUUACCAAGGCAACGAUGCAUAGCCGACCUGAGAGGGUGAUCAGCCACACUGGAACUGGGACACGGUCCAGACUCCUACGGGAGGCAGCAGUAGGGAAUCUUCCGCAAUGGGCGAAAGCCUGACGGAGCAACGCCGCGUGAGUGAUGAAGGUCUUCGGAUCGUAAAACUCUGUUAUUAGGGAAGAACAUAUGUGUAAGUAACUGUGCACAUCUUGACGGUACCUAAUCAGAAAGCCACGGCUAACUACGUG
rnacentral:rRNA from 1 species